rnacentral:rRNA from 1 species
UACGAAGGGGGCUAGCGUUGUUCGGAAUCACUGGGCGUAAAGCGCACGUAGGCGGAUUUUUAAGUCCGGGGUGAAAUCCCGAGGCUCAACCUCGGAACUGCCUUUGAUACUGGGGAUCUGGAGUCCGGGAGAGGUGAGCGGAACUGCGAGUGUAGAGGUGAAAUUCGUAGAUAUUCGCAAGAACACCAGUGGCGAAGGCGGCGCACUGGCCCGGAACUGACGCUGAGGUGCGAAAGCGUGGGGAGCAAACAGG